rnacentral:sRNA from 1 species
AUUGGCAAAUGUAAGCAUUUGACAGCUUCAGAGAGAAACAGAAAUCACAAACAACAUAAUUGGCAAAUGUAAGCAUUUGACAACACGUGCUUUGCUUAACAUCCCUGACUUCACAUUUCCAGCUCGCCAGCUCACAACACGUGCUUUGCUUAACAUCCCUGACUUCACAUUGCCAGCUCGCCAGCUCACAACACACGUGCUUUGCUUAACAUCCCUGACUUCACAUGUGUGAGCUUGACCUUCUAGAACGCUAUAUCAGGUCGUAGUUUUGAGAGAUAUCUUCGAGCUAUCCCCCUACCUGGCGCGCCAACUGUUGAUGCACGAAUCACACAAGUACGAAAAUGGGAUCUCUAGGGAAGGAAGAAAAAUCUUUCUAUUAAUACGAGCCCGCGACUUAGGCGAAUUGGACGGAUUACAAAGGAUGAUUUCUUCAACGAGCACAGAUGGAGUAAGAACGAGCUGAUUGUAGAUAAAAGGCGAACUUGAGGCCGGAAGACGAUCUUGAUGUCCGAGGAAGAAUAGAGUUUAUUCGUUUUAUAGCUGAACCUUGUAAAAGGCUGCCUACGUACCCUUAGAAAGGGAUCAAGCCACACGUAGUUCAUAUCGCGAUAAACGAACUAGGCCAUUACUGGAGGAAGGUCGUAUGUCGAGUUAGGCAGUUUUAGGGAUGAUCCGGCGGAUAAGUGACGAGUUGAAUGGCUUCUCGAGACGUGCGAGUAGGUUAGUUACUUUGGGCGGGCAAGUCGGCGAGACACUUCGGACGGACGAGUAAACGAGCUACUCAAGAUAGAUGGGCAAACGAGGUACUUCGGACGGGUGAGCUGACGAGCUGCUUGAGACGGGCGAGAUGAUAAGCUACUUGAGACGGGCCGGCUGGCGAGAUACUUCGGACGGGUGAGCUGACGAGCUGCUUGAGACGGGUGAGCUGAUGAGCUACUUGAGACGGACCGGCUGACGAGAUGCUUCAGACGGGUGAGCUGACGAGCUGCUUUAGACGGGCCGGCUGGCGAGAUACUUCAGACGGGUGAGCUGACGAGCUGCUCUUUGUCUCUAAGUGUCCUCGCGGCCUCCCCCUUUGACAAGACAUGCUAUUCCGUAUUUAUAGCCUUCUGCGCGUGUAGGGCAUUCAUCGAGGGAUUUGACGAAACUACCCUUCGCCUUAAUACUCCUUGGUUUGGAACUUAUUUUGGGCUUUUGACCCCUAACAGGAGGAGCUGUACUGGGAAAGGAAAACACUGAAGAAACGAGGUAACACACCACUUGAAGCCAUGGAGGACGUAGGAACUGUGAGAGAAAGAAAUAGAGAAGAGGAAUUAGGAAAAAAACAUGAAAGCGACAGAGUUUAAGAG